rnacentral:lncRNA from 1 species
AUUGAAUUCAGGUCCUUGCACUUGCGAGGCAGGCGUCGGAACCACUGAGGUAAAUCCCUGGCAAGGAUAUUUUAAUUGUUGACCAUAGAUAAGGAUGGCUUCAUCUCCAGGCUUUCAGAAGAAAUAACUAAAUCUACAUCGAAUGGCUUAUCUGCACCCUUGGGACUAUGGAUGCUUCUAGAGUCCUGUUUGCUCCUGAGUGGCAGCCCAGACUCACAGGGUGCAGAGCUGGCCUGGACCCGGACCCACACAGCGCCACCUCCACCCAGUACAGGAAAGUGAAGCCCAGAUAAGAGAGAUGACUCCAAGUCACACAGUUAAGCCCAGGAG